AACAUCUACGUUUCCCAAUGACACAAAUUUCACGGACGGAACUCUUCCUAAGACCUUGUCUACUGUUACAGCUUCCCUCCCGCUCAUGGGAUCCUUCACAAUCUUUCUCACGUUCUGGAUGUCGCCCGACUUGCGAACUACAGCUCGCAGAAUGAUCAUGUUUAUAACAAAUGAAUAAAGGGUUAAGUUAACUAUUGGCAGACCUUGAAACUGGGUACAAGUGCUGGAUCCGGAAUGAAAAAACUUGCCAGACAAAAUGUAUCUGGACAACUAUUACAGGAGAGGGCUGGGCCAUCAUGACAUACAUCACCAUGACUGUGUUCUACCUACUGGUCAAGCAGCACAUAAGAAGAGAGCUAUUAAAAAAAACUUCAAUAAGCUGAAGUCAAGAUUUUCUCCAGGAAGCACAUUUUUAACAUGGAAAUCUGCUCAUGUUGCAAGAAUGAUGGACUGUAAAUUAACAUUUAUUCCCAUGAUAUUUAUCCUGGAGUGUAUUUGGGGAACCAUAUGAUUUUUCUUCCUUGUAACACAUUUUCACAAUCAUGGAAAGGAAAAUUUUACUUUACAGUGGCUUGAAAUUCUUCAUGUAAAUAACACUGCCCUAUACUAUCACAGAAACACUGAUUGAUGGACCGGUAAUAUUAUUGUAUUAUUCGAUGCAUCAGUAAGAUUUAAUUGCUUAAUUAUAAACAUAUAGUAUUCUUUAUGCUCUGAAGAGUUUGCAGACCCUGAUUGUUUGAAGAUUGGAUGACACUAUCCACUGGGUAAAUCUCUGUCUGUUGGACAGUGCAGUGCAUUUUGCAAUCACUUAUCUGCUAUGUGAGAAACCUGCUUGUUGAUUUAAAAACCCAGUGGUUGUCUAUAAAAGCCAAUUCCACAUAUCUCAACUAUGUGCUUUUGUAUUUACCCAAAUUUGUGGCGUGUGGCCACAAUAGUUUUUUUUCAGUUUGGUGGGGAAAGGAGAGUGGGGCUGCUUCUUAACCCUUAGUCCCCAAUGAGGUACUUGCAUCUUAUUUCUCUUCACAAUAUCCCCCCCUGAAUCACACAUUUAGGACACAAGAAUAGUUGGAAAUGUCACCAACUAAACAAACUCUUGAUUGUUGAACAAAUUCUUCCUGUCAGUACCUUAGGAAAUGUAUUGAAAAUAGUACAUAGAAUAUGCACAGUGAUGUUAGAGUAGAAAGGGUUAAUGUAUAAACCAAACUCUAACUUUUACUUUGUAUGUUUUUCUUCUAUGGCAUUAGGAUUAACAGCCAAGGAUUUACAAAUUUCAUCUUGUUUGUCUGGUGUACCACAAAGAUAAGAGAAAAGUUAAUAAUGGGGUGUGUUCAUUGCCUGUCACUUUUUUGCAGAUGUCAUAAAAGAGAUCAAUCAGUAAUUAGCAGAGAGAGGUUUUAUAAAACAUUAAAUGAUGAAUAGAUACUGUCAGUGCUCAUGCUCUGUAGUUGCCUGAAUUACAUUAAAUACUUGUCAUUUGGUUAUAUAUCUGAGUUCUUUUCCAAGAACUAACAGUUAUGGCAAAUGUGUAGUUACAGGAAUUUUUCACAGUUGUUUGGUUAUAACUAAGAUUGUUUUUAUCUCUUAAGUGGAGUAUGUAGUUGUUAUUUAUUCUUGUGUAUGUUUUUCCCAUAUUAAAAUAAAAAACUUUAAUUUAUGGCUUUAAAGCAUUGCCAUACCUCAGGGAACAGUUAUACUUAUGAAUGAUAUCAAUUAAAGCUGUGAAUAAAGUUUAAUACCAGUGGGGAAAGUA